CUGUCCUAUAGGUAGAUGGAUCAGGCCAAGUUAACCAGUAACUUCAGACCAAGGUUCCUUCAUGAGCUACUCAGACCAGAAGACUCCUGUGGUACAAAGCACAGUCUGAUGUCGGAGUGAGGCAAUGUAUCCAGUGGAUAUGAGUUGCAGGCAGUUGUGAACCAUCAUAUGGCUGCUGGCAACUAAAGCAUCUCUCUUUCUACACGUGUGUAUCUGGAAGAGUUGUGGGGAUCUUUCAAAGACAAUUUCUGAAGCAAUCAUACCUCUGAAUGUAUUAAGCCUUCCUUAAUUUAUACAAGUAUGCUAAUAAUUGCAUAGCCAUAUGUGGUUCUUAUUUUUUAAAUUGUGUUUUAACCUGUGAUACAAUACCUGAGACAGGGAUUAUUUUCAUAAAAAUGUAAUAAAUAAGACAACAUUUUUGAACUGCAUAAAUGGAUAUGUACAAACUAUCAGCAGGUAGAUAAUUGAAUCAAAAAUUACUCACCCUAUAAAACAGUUGUUUCAUAAUAAUGGAUGACAGUAUGCAUUCUUGCACCAUUCCUUAUUUCUGAAGUAGUUAUUAAUUUAAAUAAACUGUAGAAAUAGUCUCUGAAAA